AGUGUCUUGAAUGCUGCAUGAUUGAGCUGCAUGAUGACGUGUCUCAGUGGCUGUUAGCUGGCUUAAGCUAAACUGAGGACUGGUGGUGUUUGCUCUGCAAGCCUGUCUAAAGAUUAAAAUCGGCGUCAACAUUCAAUUAUGGUGACCGACGUACAGCUGGCCAUUUUCGCCAACGUGCUUGGAGUCUCCCUCUUCCUGCUGGUGGUGUUGUACCACUACGUGGCUGUGAACAAUCCAAAGAAACUUGAGUGAUUCGCCCCCCCCAUGGAUGCGACUCUUAAGGUUCAGGUUGUGAUUGGCGGUCACAGGGACCACUGACAAGGAGAAAGAAGAUGAUGCAGUCUGUAAAUGAAUGUUUUGUAAGACAAUGUUAAUAAAUUUAUAAAUGUA